GGAGUAAUACCCAAGUCUGGCUGAAGGGAUCGGUCUUGAAAACCGACAGGCGGGUCAAACCGCGCGGGGGUUCGAAUCCCUCUUACUCCUCCA
rnacentral:tRNA from 1 species